AAAAAUAAAUUCCAAGAUUGGGACUAAAAUGUGAAUUUCUUAAAGUUAAAAAAAUCAAGGUUUUCAUUUUUGACAAGAUUUGUAUUGUACCAGAAAAUAGUUGAAAUUAUACAAACUACUGAAUUACCUAUUAAAAACUACUAAAUUGUAGGAAACCAAGACAGUCUUUAAAUUUUUGUAAUAGUUUUUGAGUAAAAAGCAAGUAAAAUUGCAUAUGAACUAAAUUUAUUGGUGAGCCCAAAGGAUGCUGCUUAUGUUCUCUGACUUGGGUGAAGGAAAAAGGGUAUGAAUCUGGUUGCCAUCAUAUCAUAGUUACCUAACGAACUCCUCGUCGUCGCCAUAGCCAUCAUUUCGAAGUCAAAAAUUGAAAAAAAAAAAGUCUGAAUACCAAGUCCGAGAAGAGUUAUUUGAGUUUGGACUACUGCUGCCGUUGAUGCUGAUGACGUCUUCGACGUCGUCGCUGCUGGUGGGAU